CGAGUGCCGGAGCCGGGAAAGCCCGGUGACCCCGACCCCGACAUGGGGCGACAGGUGAGGCUGCCGCCGGGAGCGCCCUGCCGCGAAGGCUAUGUGCUGUCUCUGCUUUGUCCGAACUCCUCCCAAGCUUGGUGCGAGAUCACAAAUGUGUCACAGCUGCUGGCUUCUCCUGUCCUCUACACAAACCUGAAUUCCAGCAUAACCAACUUGAACAUUUCAGCCAAUGGAGAAAGCAGAUACAGCCUCUUUGUGGGCUUGAUACUGGCUAUAAGCUCCAGUAUUUUCAUUGGCUCCAGCUUCAUAUUGAAAAAGAAGGGCCUUUUGCAACUCGCCAACAAGGGUGUUACUAGAGCGGGACAAGGUGGACAUUCUUACCUCAAGGAAUGGCUUUGGUGGGCCGGACUACUGUCCAUGGGAGCAGGAGAGACUGCAAACUUUGCAGCUUAUGCAUUUGCCCCUGCCACCUUGGUCACCCCUCUGGGGGCCCUGAGUGUUCUCAUAAGUGCAAUAUUGUCUUCCUAUUUUUUAAAUGAGCACUUGAACAUUCAUGGCAAAAUUGGCUGCAUAUUAUGUAUACUGGGGUCAACUGUGAUGGUUAUUCAUGCCCCACAAGAAGAGGAAGUCACUUCUUUGCAUGAAAUGGAAAUAAAGUUGAGAGACCCAGGAUUUAUUUCCUUUGCUGUGAUCAUAACCUUGAUCUCUUUGGUGCUGAUUUUGAUUGUGGCUCCCAAGAAAGGACAGAACAAUAUACUGGUCUACAUUUCAAUCUGUUCUUUGAUUGGAGCAUUUUCAGUUUCUUCUGUCAAGGGCCUGGGAAUCGCCAUUAAGGAACUGCUAGAAUGGAAGCCAGUUUACAAGAAUCCCAUGGUCUUCGUUUUGCUGGCAGUGCUUGUGCUUUCAGUAACUACACAGAUUAACUAUCUCAACAAAGCACUGGACACUUUUAACACAUCUCUUGUGACUCCCAUUUAUUAUGUGUUCUUCACAUCCACGGUAGUGACUUGCUCUGCCAUCUUGUUCCAGGAAUGGUAUGGCAUGAAAACCGGAGAUAUUAUCGGGACCUUGAGUGGGUUCCUCACCAUUAUCAAUGGCAUCUUCCUUCUCCAUGCAUUUAAAAAUACUGACAUUACGUGGAAUGAGCUGACAUCCACUGCCAAGAAAGACAUUGUUUCUCCAAAUGGCAAUGAGAAUAAUUAUGUUUUACUAGAGAACAUAGACUGUCCAACCACAGGAUAUGAUGAUGACAUUACCUUGUUUAGCAGGACAGAUGAUCAAAGUCCGUAUAAAUCCUGAUACUUGGAGAGAAGAAAGACUUACUCUUGGAAGGACUACUGGGAAAGCUACUGUUUAUAACAUGUCUAUAAAUACUUCACAUGUGGGGCUGAAGAAAGAAGGUUUUGUUUGACCCUUAACUUUGAAACUCAAGUUUUGAUGUUCCCCCAAAAGACUUCUGCAGCUUUUCAUUCUCCAACGUUUGAAACAUUCCUUAAAUAGAAAAGCCUUCAACAGUCGUGUAUGUUUCAGAAUAAUCUUGUCUUCUAGCCACAAAUGACCUGGCUCUGCCUGUGAUCUCAUUUCUUUGUUUGCUUUUUUUUAGAUUGGUGGGAACUCAAUAGAUCAAGUUAGCUGUGUUCUGGUAGGCAGAGUGUCAGUCACCAUCAUCUAACAAGUCAUAAUGUCCCAAGAGUUUUAACAAUCCCAUUGGUUCUCCCAGAACACCUCCUUGGUGAAGAAAUUAAUGACAUUUUCCUUGACAUCUAACCUGAAGCGGCAUGGGUUCUCUACUCUAGUGAAUUUAGGCUUCAGACAUUUAUUAAUGGUCAUCUGUUAUUUGACACCUGAAAUGUCAUGUUAUGCCCUUGAUGCUUUAGGUCAUAGGUUUCUAGAACACAAGGAUCAAUGUGUUUGGGGUUGGAAAAUUAGUUGGUGUUGACAGCAGGAAGACUGAGAAAAACUUAAUGUUGUCAAACAGUGAACUAUUUGCAAAGAUCUGUGUAAAAACUGCUGUAAGCCUAGGCAUUAAAAAUGUCAAAAUGUUAUUGGAAAUCUUAUGUCAAAAAUGAAUUUUUCCCAAAUCCGAAGAUACUGUCUAAGGAAGAGUGUAAUGCUGGACUCAUGUAUUCGCAUUGUGGUAGUCUAAGCUGGUGAUCUCAUACAUAUUUGCAUUUUAACAUACAUACUUUAUUGGUCAUCUCACGCAUAGCUUAGGAUUUAUUUUGUGAAUAUAUAUAGGUACAUGCAGCAUUGAGGCCACUAGCUGUGCUAGCACAGAACAAAUUGAAAUUUUCUCCGAAUUCUGAUACGUUUUUUUUUAAUUUAUAAUUUUGCUCUGUGUGUGUGUGUGUGUGUGUGUGUGUGUGCACGCGCGCACACGUGCGUAGGGGGAGGAUAGCACAGGGGGUGUAACCUCAGGGCCUUGCACUUGCUAGGAUGGUGCUAUACUGCUUAGUUAGGACUCCAACCCUGUUUUUUGUUGAUUAUUUUUAGGAUAGGGUCUUGCUCUCUGUGGGAGCACAAGCUUAAGCUAAGCUCUGCCUUCUUUUAGGCUUCCUAUUGUCUCUGGGAUCACAGGCUCGUGCCAUCACAGGGCCUGGGCACUGUCUCUCAGCUCUUCAGCUCAAGGCUAGCACUUUACCACUUGAGCCACAGCACCACUUUCAGCUUUUGCUGCUUAUGUGGUGCUGAAAAUCGAACCCGUUCCCCUCAGUAGAGAGGGAAGUCUCAUGGACUUUUUAUCCUCUCAAUCUCAGCCUCCCAUGUAGUAGAGGAUGAUUCAGGUGUGUGCCACUGUGCUCAGAUAUGAGUUGAAAAUCAAUCAAACUUUUCUGCCUGGGCUGGCCACAACCAUGACCCUCAUAUUCUCGCCUCUAAAGUCCAGCCAAGUUUAUUUUUAAUUCAAGUUACAGUAUGUUCAUAAAGCCCUUUAGAUUUAGAAAUGUGAAAUUAAAUUAACAUUUACUUUCAAAACUAUUGGGUCCAAUCCAUGGGAAGCCCCUGUGGCAUCAUACCUUAUAGAUAAUGAGUACUUAAUUAUUAGUCUUAUUAUUUAAGACCUAUGGAUACUGAGUACCAUUUUGUAUAAAUCCCUCAUCUUUUCUAUUUUAUUCCAUGAGCUAAAUACUAACUUUAAACAAUGCUAAUGAAUGUGAAUUCUAUCAUUAUGCUAUCUUGGCAUCAAUAAAAAAUUACUGCACCAAAAAAAUCUUUCUUAAUAAAACCACAAAACUGAACUAUAAAUGCUAUUCUUUCUUAAUAAAACCAACAAAACUGAACUAUAAAUACUAUUUUCACCUUUCCAAAACUUUGUAAACAAUAAUUUGUAUAAAUAUAUGUUAAAUGUUCUCAAAUAUUUUGAAUAAACUAUGUUCAUAAAGAAUUUAUAUUUUUUAAAUGUUUAUAAACACUGUUCAUUUUAGAAAGUUUACAGUUUUUAAAUGCUUCUGUAUAUUUUUCAUUUGCAAUAAAAUAUGGUUUAAUUA